AGUGAGAAGGGGCCAAAUAGCCCUCUUUAUAGCAAGCCAGGCCCACUUGGCUGUUGCCAGGUAACUGCUGGGUGGAGCUUAGAAGGAAUGCCAAUGCUUGCUAGCAAGGCAAGAGCAAGUAAGCAGAGAACAAAAGCUUCCUUCUUCCACGUCCUUACAUAGCUUCCAGCAGAAAGCAUGGCCCAUCAGAGAUGCGUUUUUUUCCCACCUCAAAAAGAUAUGGAUUAAGGGUAUGCCUUUUCAUCUCAAAGAUCCAGAAGAAAGGUGUGUCUUCCCGCCUUGAAGUGGAUCCUCCCUCUUCAAAUUAAGUAAAAGACCUCACAGGCUUGCCACUCCAUGUUUGGGCUUUAGUUAAUUCCAGAUGUAGUGAAGGUGACAACCAUGAAUAGCCAUCAUCAUAGCAUGUGCUAGCCAGUUGCAUGUGGGUGGCAAGCCCCAUGAUAGGUUCCCAGCCUCAAGCACAAAGAUCUUGGCAUGAUUUCCUAGUGAAAAGGCACUGGAGACAGAACUGUGUGUUUCUUUGACUUCUUGGGCCUCUUCUAGACACUCAGACUCACAAGCCUUCUCUGCCCGGCUUCCAGAUAGAGUCCUCAUCUAGAAUGCACUGAGCGGAACUGCCAGCCACUUAGUAGCACGCUGGAAACUUCAGUCAUUUUCUACUCUCUUGCCUGCCAGUAGCUUUUGCUUAUAAAUAUCUCAGGAGUUCGCGUCUACCACGGUCAUUAUCUAAGUCUGCUCUGUGCUGCUGUAAUACAGUGGAUUCUCUGAGACUGGAUACUUCAUAAAGAACUGGGACUUAUUUGUCUCAUGGGCUAGAGGCUGGGACAUCCAAGGCCGAAGCAUCUAGACAGGGUCUUCAUGCUGUCACCUUUCAGCACAUGUGAAAGUGUAAGAGAGGUUGGAAAUGAGAAGGUAAAUCCGCUCUCGUUAUAACUAAUCCAUUGUCACGGGAUGAUCAAGUCCUCUUGGCCCAGUCACUUCCCAUUAGGCCCCAUGUUCAGACACUACUGCACUGAGCACAGGCUUCACACACAUAAUUCAAGGGGAUCGUUCCAACUCUAGCACCUCCCUGCCCAAGCUGCAUUCAGACCUUGACAGGGCUGCCGCCACUGCUUCCUCAGUUGUCCCUCAUGUCUCCAGCUCCACAUCCUUUCCCAUGAAGAGAGCAACGUGCAGGCUAAAACACCUGGUUGUACCACCUCAGUCUACCUAGGACCACCCAGCAGUACAGCACGGCCUGCGGCCCUCCAGAUGCAGGCCUCACCUCUGCCAUGGCUGCCCACGGGACCCCUUCCAUCCCACACUCCUACAGUGGUUAUUCCACGGGCACAGCUGCUCUCCAUUCCCGCGACACUCUCUGCCUUCUAUGCACGUCCGUAUGUGCCUUGUGUGUCAUCCUCCUCGAAUUUAUUCGUCACGGAAGCUGUCUCUCACUUUCAUGCCUAUAUGAAUACUCUCGGGUCACAUAUUCUAUAACAGUGCCACUGUGUGCUUACAUUUGUUAGAGGAGCUUCUUUUAUUGUUAUUUCUCUCUUCUACUAACAAUCAGCUCCGCGACAACAGGGGCCCUGCUUGUCAUGCCUUGUUUUCAUGACAUUUAUAUCUCUGAUAUUUUCACAAUAAAUGCCAUUGGUUCUCCUCUUCCAUCCUGUGGAAUCUAUAGGUAGAACUCUCAGGCUUGGUAGCAGGCACCUUUAACCUCUGAGCCAUCUCACUAGUCUUUGAAUAUAAGCAUUGAACAAAUGAAUGAGUGAACAAAUGAAUGAAUGAAUGAAUGAAUGAAAAGAAAUGUAUAUUACACAUGAUAUCCAUAUGGAGUGGUAUUUGGCAUGCAUGUUUGUGCCAUACAAAUUAGGUUGUCUUGUGUAGCCUCCACACAAUUGCCUGGGCAGAGGACAGGGUAUAAUAACAACAUCUCUCCUCAGAAAUGGAAAGUAUUUGAAUAAAUUCUUUCUUUACAGGCUUCCUGACAGGAUUAAAUAGCUGAAGAAGGUAGUCGUAUUUGCUGUGUGUAUUAUAAAUUGAACUUGGGGGGGGGGAGUUUUUGUUUGUGUUUGGGAAUACACAUGAGACAAAUCUUCUAAAGACAUGCAGAUGGAUAUUUCAUUACGUGGUGGGGCUCCUGGUUACUUAUAUUUCCUUGAUUCUCCACAGCAAGCAUCUCUUCCUUUAGUAAAAGACGGAAAGAGAAAAGGGGGAGAGAUGGGGAUGGAGACUUGUUAAUCUGGUAUCUUUAGCUCCAGGUAGGCUCAAACAUAUAUAAGCACACUUCUCCCAUUUAUUUAGCAGUUACAGGAAAUGCUGAAAUGUGUGUUAUCCCAGCAAUGGAGGCACUAAGACCCCAACUGACUCUGGCCAUGCCUCUUGCCACCAAAUAAAAUAAGAAAUCUGAGC
rnacentral:lncRNA from 1 species